UAACGCUUGAAACCGCAACUGCC
rnacentral:siRNA from 1 species